CGGCACGGGUGAGUAACACGUAUCCAACCUGCCGUCUACUCUUGGACAGCCUUCUGAAAGGAAGAUUAAUACAAGAUGGCAUCAUGAGUCCGCAUGUUCACAUGAUUAAAGGUAUUCCGGUAGACGAUGGGGAUGCGUUCCAUUAGGCAGUUGGCGGGGUAACGGCCCACCAAACCGACGAUGGAUAGGGGUUCUGAGAGGAAGGUCCCCCACAUUGGUACUGAGACACGGACCAA
rnacentral:rRNA from 1 species